UAUAGUAAAUGCAGGAGAAUGGAUUGAAAUAUAAACUUCAAUUUUGAACUCGCAGAAAGCUUGUGACUUGUGAUGUAAUAGUGUUCAGCAAGAUAUAAUAGAACUUGGAAUUAUUCUCAUGACAUCGCCAAGGCAACACAGGGUGGAAAUUCCAGACACCUUUUGGGUGGAGUCUCAUUCCUUCUGUAGUCUGGAGCUGGAAGCUGGAUUAACAUGGUGUUUUGUUUGCUGUGAUUUACUGGAAGAAGAAAAUAUUUAGUUGCUUUGUUUUACUGAGUGGUGGUCAGAGAGAAUGGGAAAGGAAAAUGGUGAUAUCCUGCAUAGCUUCAUUCAGAGCUGGAGUCCACAGCAAAUCCUCUCUUUCCUUCCUAAAGUGGGAAGUAUUGGAAAUCUGAGUCACACUCACAGAAUUCUUGAAAAAAUAUCUGGAGGCUGUCUUCUGGGUCAACUGAGACAUGAGAUGACAUUGAUCCUCAGGAAAUAAAAACAUUGAGGAAAAACACUGAUGGACUAUUUUGUUGUACACAUUACAAACACUGAAUCUUUGUUACCUGCUGUAGCACUGGGCCAGCAAAGGUUAUACAAUCAGCAAGCUGGUUGACCUGUAAGCAACCCUUAAGGACAUAUCAAAAGGGUAUUGCAAUGGUGAACAAGGCCAUUCCUUGUGGAUAGUUAUCAAAGCCAUGUUAAGUAGAUUAGAAUAUUUAACUUGUUUGUCUGUAUUGUUAGAGAAUCAAAGAGUAAGUGCUAAAUAUGUCUAUGUUUACCUGUAUCCUAUUAGAAAUCUAACAAUGUGAUCUAAUUAGCUUAUAGAUGCUAAAUCCUGUUCCUGUCUUGUAAUGUUUCGUUACUCUAUUGAGUGAGGGAUCAUUGGUGCACUCGUUAUUCUAUUGACUCGGAGAUGUUAUAUUUAGGUGGGACUUGUGGUAUAAUAAUAAUAUUGUCUUAAUCUCUCCUGGAAGUUUGCAAUUCCAAAGAGCAAACAACCUGUGAACUGCAUUGAUAAUUUGAAUAGCCAUUGCUAAAGGCAUUGUUUGAGAAAGGACCUAUUGAAUAGAGAUCACAAACUGUUGGCUCACUUUCAUCAAAGCCCACUGUAGUGGAGUUUCCUGUCAGCACCCACCCUACCUCAACUAUAAAAGAAAGCUUCGGGCCUGAUCCUUUUAUCUCAGGUCUGCUCAAACUUUAACAGGGAAGGUUUAAGCCAUAGGAUUGAGGCCUCCAGGAGGAUACCUGGAUUAUCCUGGAACUCUGAUGGAGAAAUUCUAACAGACUGUACACCUGAACUGUCUAUUGGACGAUAACCCAUUGAAUUGAUUCCAGAGGCCUGGUCUACAUUAGGCGUUUAUGUCGAAGUUAGCGCCGCUAAAUCGAAUUAACCCUGCACCCGUCCACACUGCGAUGCUAUUUAGUUCGACAUAGAGGUCUCUUUAAUUCGACUUCUGUACUCCUCCCCGACGAGGGGAGUAGCGCUAAAUUCGACA
rnacentral:lncRNA from 1 species